AACGAACGCUGGCGGCAGGCUUAACACAUGCAAGUCGAGCGCCCCGCAAGGGGAGCGGCAGACGGGUGAGUAACGCGUGGGAAUCUACCCAUCUCUACGGAAUAACGCAUGGAAACGUGUGCUAAUACCGUAUACGUCCUUCGGGAGAAAGAUUUAUCGGAGAUGGAUGAGCCCGCGUUGGAUUAGCUAGUUGGUGGGGUAAAGGCCUACCAAGGCGACGAUCCAUAGCUGGUCUGAGAGGAUGAUCAGCCACACUGGGACUGAGACACGGCCCAGGAUCCUACGGGAGGCAGCAGUGGGGAAUAUUGGACGAUGGGCGCAAGCCUGAUCCAGCCAUGCCGCGUGAGUGAUGGAGGCCCUAGGGUUGUAAAGCUCUUUCACCGGUGAAGAUAAUGACGGUAACCGGAGAAGAAGCCCCGGCUAACUUCGUGCCAGCCGCCGCCGUAAGAC
rnacentral:rRNA from 1 species